UCUGGUUGAUCCUGCCAGUAGUCAUAUGCUUGUCUUAAAGAUUAAUCCAUGCAUGUCUAAGUAUAAAUCGUAUACAGUGAAACUGCGAAUGGCUCAUUAAAACAGUUAUAGUUUACUUGAUAAUCGAAUUUUAUAUGGAUAACCGUAGUAAUUCUAGAGCUAAUACAUGCUGUUAAACCUGACUUUAUGGAAAGGUUGUAUUUAUUAGAUAUUAAACCAGCAGCUUCGGCUUCUGUGAUGAUUCAUAAUAACUGAUCGGAGAUAAGCUAGUCUUAUCUAAAUCAAUCAAGUUUCUGCCCUAUCACUUUGUUGGUAGUGUAUUGGACUACCAAGAGGAUCACGGGUACGAGGAAUUAGGGUUUGAUAUCGGAGAGGCAGCCUGAGAAACGGCUACCACUUCUAAGGAAGGCAGCAGGAGCGUAAAUUACCCAAUCUCAAUUCGAGGAGGUAGUGACAAGAAAUAAUAACUCGGGCGGUAUCUACCGUUACGAGAUUAAAAUGAGGACAAUUUAAAAAACUUAUCGAGGAACAAUGAGAGGACAAGUCUGGUGCCAGCACCCGCGGUAAUUCCAGCUCUUAUAGUGUAUAUUAAAGUUGUUGCAGUUAAAAAGUUCGUAGUCGAUCAUCUAGUGCCCGGCGCUAUGGUUAACUCCUUGGCGUUCGAGUGCUAUCUGUUCGAGAACUUCAUCUGCCUUAACUGGCCGGUGAUGCUGAUCGGACUCUUUCCUGAGAAAAAAUUAGAGUGUUCAAAGCAGGCUAUUGCCGUGAAUAUCACAGCUUGGAAUAAUAGAAUAAGACUGAAGUCUCUUUUGUUGGUUAUGAACUUUAGUAAUGGUUAAUAGAAACAGUCGGGGGUAUUAGUAUUUAAUUGUCAGAGGUGAAAUUCUAUGAUUUAUUAAAGACUAACUUAUGCGAAAGCAUUUGCCAAGGAUGUUUUCAAUUGAUCAAGAACGAAAGUUAGGGGACCAAAGACGAUCAGAUACCGUCCUAGUCUUAACUAUAAACGAUUCCGACCAUGGAUCGGAAAGGUCUUUCAAGCCUUUUCGGCACAUUAUGAGAAAUCAAAGUCUUUGGGUUCCGGGGGAAGUAUGGACACAAGUCUGAAACUUAAAGGAAUUGACGGAAGGGUACACCAGAUGUGGAUUUUGCGGCUUAAUUUGACCCAACACGGGGAAACUUACUAGGGCAAGACUAAGGUUGGAUUGACAGUAUGAGAGCACUUUCUUGAUUCUUAGGGUGGUGGUGCAUGGCCGUUCUUAGUUGGUGGAGUGAUUUGUCUGGUU
rnacentral:rRNA from 1 species